rnacentral:rRNA from 1 species
AUCAGCCACACUGGGACUGAGACACGGCCCAGACUCCUACGGGAGGCAGCAGUGGGGAAUAUUGGACAAUGGGCGCAAGCCCUGAUCCAGCCAUGCCGCGUGUGUGAUGAAGGCCUUAGGGUUGUAAAGCACGUACGCAGGUGAAAGAUCCUGACGGUAACCGGAGAAGGAAGCCCCGGCGGUCUUCGUGCCAGCAGCCGCGGUAAUACGAAGGGGGCAAGCGUUGCUCGGAAUCACUGGGCGUAAAGCGCACGUAGGCGGGUUGUUAAGUCAGAGGUGAAAUCCUGGAGCUCAACUCCAGAACUGCCUUUGAUACUGGCGACCUUGAGUUCGAGAGAGGUUGGUGGAACUGCGAGUGUAGAGGUGAAAUUCGUAGAUAUUCGCAAGAACA